rnacentral:rRNA from 1 species
CCCUUAGAUGUUCUGGGCCGCACGCGCGCUACAAUGAUGAAUUCAACGAGUUUAUAACCUUGGUUGAAAAGCCUGGGUAAUCUUUUGAACUUUCGUCGUGAUGGGGCUAGACCCUUGCAAUUAUUGGUCUCCAACGAGGAAUUCCUAGUAAACGCAAGUCAUCAGCUUGCAUUGAUUACGUCCCUGCCCUUUGUACACACCGCCCGUCGCACCUACCGAUUGAAUGGUCCGGUGAAAUCUUCGGAUUGAGACUUUGAUUUGUUUACUCAAAACGCUGUUUCAAGAAGUUGAUUAAACCUUACCAUUGAGAGGAAGGUGAAGUCGUAAC